rnacentral:lncRNA from 1 species
AAAAAAAAAAAAAAAAAAAAAAAAAGGGUCUUUGCUGUCACAAUUAAGCCUCUCAACAUGAGAUCAUCCUGGAUUGUUUAGAUGGGCCCUAAAUAUCACAACUAGAGUUUUGUUGUUGUUGUUGUUGGUUUGUUUCUUUGUUUUUGUGACGGAGUCUCACUCUAUCACCCGGCUGGAGUGCAGUGGUGUGAUCUUGGCUCACUGCAACCUCCACCUCCCGGGUCCAAGCGACUUUCCUGCCUCACCGUCCUGAGUAGCUGGGAUGACAGGUGCCCCCACCACACCCAGCCUAAUUUUUGUAUUUUUAGUAGAGACGGGGUUUCACCAUGUUGGCCAGGCUGGUCUCGAACUCCUGACCUCAAGCGAACAACUAGCAUUUUUAUAAACUACAGAAGACGGUGGCUAUUCAUCUGCCCCCUCUCUCCUGGGUAUUUGCGUGUCAGGUGCAGAGAUGGAGUCUUCUGAGGGCGCACAUCACAGCGUAGACAGAAAGUUGAGGUUGUACAUGCCGCAGGUUCCAGAUGGAAAUCACUAGUGCCUCCUCUUCUCUCUAAUAGGCACACUAGACACAGCAGGUGCAUUUUGGCGGUGGGAUGAGGUCCGACAGUCACCUUUAUUUUUUAUUUAUGUAUUCAUUAGUAUUAUUAUUUUUUGAGACUGAGUCUUAAACUGUCACCCAGGCUGGAGUGCAGUGGCGGCAUCUCGGCUCACUGCAACCUCCACUUCCCAGGUUCAAGGGAUUCUCCUGCCUCAGCCUCCUGAGUAGCUGGGAUUAUAGGCGCCCAUCACCAUGCCCAGCUAAUUUUUGUAUUUUUAGUAGGGACGGGGUUCGCCAUGUUGGUGAGGCUGGUCUCCAACUCUUUUUUUUUUUUUUUUUUUUUUUUGAGACGGAGUCUCGCUGUCUCCCAGGCUGGAGUUCAGUGCCUCAAUCUCGGCUCACUGCAAGCUCCACCUCCCGUGUUCUCGCCAUUCUCCUGCCUCAGCCUCCCCAGUAGCUGGGACUACAGGCGCCCGCCACCACACCUGGCUAAUUUUUUGUAUUUUUAGCCAUGGGGUUUCACCAUGUUAGCCAGGAUGGUCUCAAUCUCCUGACCUCGUGAUCUGCCUGCCUCGGCCUCCCAAAGUGCUGGGAUUACAGACAUGUGCCACCACGCCUGGCUAAUUUUUUGUAUUUUUAGUAGAGAUGGGGUUUCACCGUGUUGGCCAGGCUGGUCUCGAACUCCUGACCUUGGAUGAUCUGCUCGCCUCGGCCUCCCAAAUUGCUGGGAUGACAGACGUGAACCACCGUGCCUGGCCGACAGUCACCUUUAGAAUGUGAACAGUGGACACUGUGUUGGGGUCUCCUACCUGUGCCUGUGAUGUGGACUGGCCCAUCUCGUCAUGGACAAGUAGAGAUGGGGUUUCACCAUGUUGAGCAGUCUGGUCUUGAACUUCUGACCUCGUGAUCCACCCGCCUCAGCCCCCCAAAGUGCUGGGAUUACAGGCGUGAGCCACCGCGCCCGGCCUGAGACGGCUUUCCAAGGCUGCAGAAAUGAAGUCUGCAAUAGCAGAUCCUCUUUGCCUGGGUUUGCACGUGAUCCAGCAAACCACCCACCGACCCGUUGCCUCAUGUGAGACAUCCUCAGGGAACAGCAAGAAUUUUGAAGGUCCCUGAUAAGACAUCUUUGAGGUCAGGCAUAAAUCAUCACUUCACAUCUUGACGGCAAUGCAACGAAGACAAGUAUCUGUCUCUUUGGGUCUGUCUAACAAGGAGCAAAGCCUGGCCUCCCACCAGCAUCCAGACAAUAGUGGAUUCCCUCUCCAUAGAUGUCAAAAAAGAAACAGAUGCUCCCGCAGGUGAAAUGAGCUCUGGUCCACAAUGCAACGCAGGCUGUGCAGAAAAUCAAAGAGGAACCAACCCAGAAGUAUCCCCCAGGACAAAUCAUUAAGGGGGAAAAGGACAAUCCAUGUCCAUUUACCUGUGUUCUGUGAGACAGAUGAAGCCUGGACUUCUGCUAUCCUGCCCUUGCUGGGAAUGAGCAGGGUUGUACCUGCACUCAUCAUGGAAUAAGCACUAAAGAAACAAAGCUACAACAGAAGAUGUCCUCUACUGCAGGGCACCUUACAUUCCAAUCCUCCAAUAUGGCAGCGAGUCAAAAUCUCAAAAGACCUGAGUGCCUUCUGCGUAAGUCCCCGUAGGCUUCUAGUAUUCAUUUUACAAGUAUACUGAUGCUCUCAGUUGAUGCUGAGGGGGUGGCUGUUCAUGAAGAUGAUGGAAUUGGCUUCGGCAGAGGUCUCUCUUUGACCAUCUAGAGGCACUGUUGCUUAUCUAUCAGGAAACGGAGGGAGGCACUGGGAAUUUGAACUCGAGCUCUGGAGUUCUUCCAUGCAGCUGUGUUUACGUAUCAUCAAGCACCGAUUCAUUGCCCGUUGGGACAGAGGAGAAUCAGGCCUGGUCUGGCAUCAUUGCCGGGUGGGUGUGAAAUGCCACUUCUACCGAGACCAACUGGAAAUGAAAGAUCGUCAACAGUCAAAAAGGUCACUGCAUAAAUGCCUGUGAAGUCCAAGUAACUGUCAGAGACAGAAUACGCUUUGCAGCGGAGAGUUUUCCAGGAAAGAAAAAUGGUCUCUGUGAAUGUUCUUUGGGAGGCCACGGAUGGCUUGUUCUGAAGUGAAUGGAAUUGCUUUGCAGAAGACGCAUAGCCAGGCUGAGUUCAGGAGGUAUCUCUUUUUUUUUUUUUUUUUUUUUUUGAGACGGAGUCUCGCUCUGUUGCCCAGGCUGGAGUGCAGUGGCACAAUCUCAGCUCACUGCAACCUCUGCUUCCCGGGUUCAAGCAAUUCUCCUGUCUCCACCUCCCGAGUAGCUGGCAUUACAGGCACUGCCACCAAGCCUGGCUAAUUUUUGUAUUUUUAGUAGAGAUGGAGUUUCACGAUGUUGGCCAGGCUAGUCUCGAACUCCUGACCUCAAGUGAUCCACCCACCUCAGCCUCUCAAAGUGCUGGGAUAACAGACGUGAGCCACUGCACCCGGCCCAGGAGGUGUCUUAAUCCAUUUGCUGUUGCUACAACAGAGUAACACCGUCUGGGUAAUUCACAGAAGAAGUUUAUUUUGUAAAGUCCUGGAGGCUGGCAAGUCCAAAAGGCAUGGUGCCUGCAUCUGAUGAGAGCCUCUUGCUAUAGUACAACAUAGUGGAGGACUUAUAAUGCCACCAGCUCUGUCCAUGUGGGCCUCGCUUUGAUGAUCUUACCUAAUUCUAAUUGUCUCCUAAGGGUGCCACUCCAAAUACUACAACAUACUAAUUUGAGAGAGAAGUUUCCAACACAUGAAGCUUGGGAGACACAAACCAUACAGGGUGGAGUCAAGACGGCUUGUUUAAUUCGGCCAACUUGAGCAAAGAGGCAUAAUGGUUAUUGCCUCUCUGGGUUCACUAAACACAUAAACAUGCCCACACUAAUAAUUCAUGUCGACCGCAGUACUCUCUGCUUUUCCUGAAUAGCAUAUUGUGUUGAACAGGUUAUACGACCUUGGGUAGAGACUUAGCUCUCUUUAAGCCUCCAUUUCUCAUCUGUAAAAUGAGAAUGAAAGAUGGUUUCUCCGUAUUUAUGGAAGGGUUCCAACAAGGUAAAGUGUGUAGCGUACUUUGUCAAUUCUAAAGCACUCUUCUGAUAUAAAUUAUAGCAUCCCCGGAUUCAUUGUUUGAGUUGGUUUCUUUUUUAAAAUUAAUUUCUGUUGUAUGUAUUUAAGGUGUGCAACAUGAUUUUUUGAUAUAGUGACAUAGUGAAAUGAUUAUAAUUGUUAAGAAAAUGAACACAGCUAUCAUCUCACAUAUUUACCUUUUUUGCGACAAGAGCACCUUAAAUCUACUCUCUUAACAAAAAUCCUAAAUAUGAAAUGUAUUAUAGUCCUUAUAUUUUGCAUUUGAUUUCUAGACUUAUUCUACAUCAUCUAUAACAACCACCAUUUUUUCUAUUUCUAUAUAUUUUCUUUCUUCCUUCCUUCCUUCUUUCCUUUCUUCCUUUUUUCUGAUAAGGAGUCUCGCUCUUUCGCCCAGGCUGGAGUGCAGUGGCGUGAUCUUGGCUCACUGCAAGCUCCGCCUCCCGGGUUCACGCCAUUCUCCUGCCUCAGCCUCCUGAGUAGCUGGGACUGCAGGCACCCACCACCAUGCCCAGCUAAUUUUUUGUAUUUUGUAUUUGCCUUCCUUUCUUUUUCAUUUCCUUCUUUCUGCCUUCUUUUCAUUCUUUUAUUUUUGUAGAUUCUUUAUAUAAGUGAGAUCCAAUACUUUUAACUGAAUGUGAACAUUUCUUUUACAAAAUAAAAUGUAUGUUCAGGCUUUUACUUAAUCCAUGCUAGUAAGAGCCUGGUUCAAAAAUGAGCUGCAGGUUUUUUCAAAGAGAAUCACAAUCAUUUCUGUGGAAUAGGUGAAGUGAAAGACAUUUUUAGAAAGUUUGCAUCUUUUUGCAGAGACUUUUAAUGAAGGGGUUUAUGUUUUCCGCUCUGUUCGUUUACUGAAAGCAAAAGAAGAAAAGUGAGGAAGGGAUUAUACAAAGAAAGUGACUGAAAAAUUCUGAAAAUAUCUGUUUUCAUAAGAUAAGAGCUUUAUUCUAGUUCUGAACAUAUAAUCAUAGUCAUCAUUGUCCUUAUUUAAAUAAAAACAGCUAGCUGGGCAACUUAGUCUCAUUGAAAUUCCUGAGAUCUUCAUUCUUUCUUGGUAUUUGGCUGAAAAAAGAAUAAGUUUAUCUCAUUCUUUUCCCAAAGUAUAGCACAAGGUUGAGAGCCUGGACUCGUGGCAUGCAUACCUAAUGAGACCGUUGUAUUACUUGGGGUGAAACUCCUUCCAUUUGACUUGAUGUAGUUAUUUUCUUUUUCUUGCAAGGGAAGCAAACUUUGGGUUCUACCUGGGUCUUCCUUAAGCAUCAGGUGUGUUUCAAAUGGAUAGAUUUAAUAAUAAUUGAUCCACUAAUAAUUGAUCCACUGGGCAAUGAUUUUUUAAAUGUUUGUUUUCAAAUUUAAAACAAUGCCUCAAGUUUAGAAAUGCCUCUCCUCGGCCGGGC